AUGAACGCUAGCGAUAGGCUUAACACAUGCAAGUCGAGGGGCAGCAUGGUCUUAGCUUGCUAAGGCUGAUGGCGACCGGCGCACGGGUGCGUAACGCGUAUGCAACUUGCCUCACAGAGGGGGAUAACCCGUCGAAAGACGGACUAAUACCGCGUACACUCUAUGUUGGGCAUCCAAUGUAGAGGAAAUGAAAUUCGCUGUGAGAUAGGCAUGCGUCCCAUUAGCUAGUUGGUGAGGUAACGGCUCACCAAGGCGACGAUGGGUAGGGGAACUGAGAGGUUGAACCCCCACACUGGUACGGAGACACGGACCAGACUCCUACGGGAGGCAGCAGUGAGGAAUAUUGGGCAAUGGGCGAGAGCCUGAACCAGCCAAGUCGCGUGAAGGAUGACUGUCUUAUGGAUUGUAAACUUCUUUUAUACGGGAAUAACAAGAGUCACGUGUGGCUCCCUGCAUGUACCGUAUGAAUAAGCAUCGGCUAACUCCGUG
rnacentral:rRNA from 1 species